AGGCAGCCACUUUGCAGUAGUUAAUCGGGCAAAGGUAGUGUUGAACUGCUCAUAUAUUGAAUUUACUUCGGGCCUUCGGACUUGCUGAGAGAUAGAUUUAUUUGACUGGUCUAGUAAGCCCAAGUAUAUC